rnacentral:rRNA from 1 species
UACGUAGGUGGCGAGCGUUGUCCGGAUUUACUGGGCGUAAAGAGCGCGCAGGCGGUCGUAUAAGUCGAAUGUGAAAGCCCCUGGCUCAACUAGGGAGAGUCAUUCGAUACUGUUCGACUCGAAGGCAGGAGAGGGAAGUGGAAUUCCGGGUGUAGUGGUGAAAUGCGUAGAGAUCCGGAGGAACACCAGUGGCGAAGGCGACACGCUGGGCCGUACCUGACACUGAUGCGCGACAGCAUGGGGAGCAAACAGG